UUCUUUCUUAUUCUCUUUCUCAAAACUGAAGAACAGAAAAACCAUUGUUCUUCUUCUUGUCCAUUUCUGAUUCUCUAUCAGAUUCAUCAUCACUACCACCUUUUUCUUCACCACCACCACCGCCACCACCAUCAUCAACAUCUUCUUCUUCAAUUAUUUCAAAAAAUUGAAAUUAAGGUCGUGAUGAAACUGUGUUUAGGGAUUUUAUUUUUUUUUGAUGCGAACUUUUGGUCUAUUUUCAGAUGAUUAUAACAAAUUGAAGAAGAAGAACAAUAGUUGCUCGAGAAUUGUAGAUGAUUAUAACAAAUAUGGAUGGAAAUUGGGGGAUCUGAGAUGAUUGAAGAAUGGGUACUGCAUGUUAUUGAGAUUGGUGCCGAGUUGAUGGUGGUAGCAUCUUGAGAUAAGAUGAAGUUGUGUUGGUUGAUUUCCUGUGAUGGUGUAAUGCAAUGAAGGAGAUCGAAGAUGGGUUUGUAGUGGUGCUGUAAUUACAGGAAAGAUCAAUUGAUCAGGUGUCGUGUGUUGAUGAUGAAACAAUCAGUAGGAAGAGAUGAUGUUCAUAACUCAGAGAAGAAAAAGAGUGAGCAGCUGAUAUUGAACUAUAUUUUUUGAGAUGAAAUGAUGGUGCACAACACAUUAACAACAUCAAUACCCAUUUCUGCUGCUCCAUUCUUCUUCAGUUAUGCAAAUGGAUUCAGUUAUGUAAUUUUUUUUCUUAAUUUUAAUUUUUGAAUGCAAUGAACUGGUGUUGUGGUGCAUAAAUUACACCUGAGUAUUUUUACAUAA